rnacentral:rRNA from 1 species
UCGAGCGGACGAUUCGAAAGCUUGCUUUUGAAUCGUUAGCGGCGGACGGGUGAGUAACACGUGGGCAACCUGCCCUGUAGACGGGGAUAACACCGAGAAAUCGGUGCUAAUACCGGAUAAUACGAAAUGUCGCAUGAUGUUUCGUUGAAAGACGGCGCAAGCUGUCGCUACAGGAUGGGCCCGCGGCGCAUUAGCUAGUUGGUGAGGUAACGGCUCACCAAGGCGACGAUGCGUAGCCGACCUGAGAGGGUGAUCGGCCACACUG